AAAAUAGUUCCUACGACAGAUGACGAUAAGAACCCCAGUGAUGAUACUGCAGAGUCUGCAGAGAAUAAAGGAAAGAAACGUCCGGUGGGUAAUAAGGAAGCUGUUCGCAAGUAUCGUGAGAAAAAGAAGGCUCGGGCUGCUUCAUUAGAGGAUGAAGUUGUCAGAUUGAGGGCUAUAAACCAGCAACUCUUGAAGAGGCUGCAGGGUCAGGCUGUAUUGGAAGCGGAGGUUGCUAGGCUCAAGUGUUUGCUUGUGGAUAUACGUGGAAGGAUUGAAGGGGAAAUUGGAUCAUUUCCAUAUCAGAAGCCCAUGAAGAGUGGCAAUACAUAUCAGCACAUAGUUAAUCCUAACUUUCCUGGUGCAUAUGUGGUGAACUCUUGCAACCUACAAUGUGAUGAUCAGGUUUAUUGCCUCCACCCAGGCGCAGAAGGUAAAAACUCAGACGGCACUGUAUUAAAUGGACAAGGCUUCAACAACUGUGAAUUUGAGACUCUCCAAUGCUUGGGUAAUCAAACCUCUGGAGUGGAGGAGGUUCCUGGAUGUGUUGUGGGUAAUAGCACACCUACUGACAACACUUCUGGUCGAAGCAAGAGAAAAGGAGGCGCGCGUACAACAACAGGUUGAUGAACAUCUUAGGAGAGCAUCAUUAUUCUUGAGAAUAAGUAUGUUUUGUUAUGUGCUCUCUACCGUGAAGAAUUCUCUACUUUGCUGAGUUCGACUUGAGAAUCUUCUUCUGGCUGUUGAGUUGGUGGUCUUGUAGGUGUUUGAGUGUCUGUUGUUUAUCAACAGUCAUGUAAAGCAGAAACAACCGAAUGGAUAUAGCUAGCAGAACUCAUGAAGAGGAUACCAAGGGGAUGCCAAGGGUUGUGGUUUUCUGUGAAGAUCUGGAAGCUUUAUUCCUCACUGUUGUAUUUAUUCAUUCUUUGAUCUUUGAUGAAUGUCGCCUCUUGCCGAUGGAUGUCUAAAUUGAUGGUUAUCGUUCUUAGUUUAUGUGAAUUUGAAAUAGAUGGUGGUCUUUUUAUGCUCGUGAUUCUCUGCUAUAAAGAGU
rnacentral:misc_RNA from 1 species